rnacentral:rRNA from 1 species
AUUGAACGCUGGCGGCAGGCCUAACACAUGCAAGUCGAGCGAGCGGCGGACGGGUGUGUAAUGUAUGGGGACUGCCCGAUAGAGGGGGAUAACUACUGGAAACGGUAGCUAAUACCGCAUACUAUCGGAUAACCCAUAUGGGAUUAGCUAUUAGGUGAGGUAAUGGCUAACCUAGGCGACGAUCCCUAGCUGGUCUGUGAGGAUGAUCCGCCACACGUGGACUGAGACACGGCCCAGACUCCUACGGAGGCAGCAGGGGGGAAUAUUGCACAAUGGGCGCAAGCCUGAUGCAGCCAUGCCGCGGGUAUGAAGAAGGCCCUAGGGUUGUAAAGUACUUUCAGUGGGGAGGCGUUACCGACAGAAGAAGCACCGGCUAACUCCGUGCCAGCAGCCGCGGUAAUUC